rnacentral:rRNA from 1 species
AUAGUAAUACCGAGCUCUAUGAGUCUGGUAAUUGGAAUGAGUACAAUCUAAAUCCCUUAACGAGGAUCCAUUGGAGGGAAAGUCUGGUGCCAGCAGCCGCAGUAAUUCCAGCUCCAA